rnacentral:rRNA from 1 species
AUGGUUAAGUUAGAAAGGGCGCACGGUGAAUGCCUUGGCACUAGGAGCCGAUGAAGGACGGGACUAACACCGAUAUGCUUCGGGGAGCUGUAAGUGAGCUUUGAUCCGGAGAUUUCCGAAUGGGGAAACCCACUGUUCGUAAUGGAACAGUAUCUUUAUCUGAAUACAUAGGAUAUUGAAGGCAGACCCGGGGAACUGAAACAUCUAAGUACCCGGAGGAAGAGAAAGCAAAUGCGAUUUCCUGAGUAGCGGCGAGCGAAACGGAAUUAGCCCAAACCAAGAGGCUUGCCUCUUGGGGUUGUAGGACACUCUAUACGGAGUUACAAAGGAACGAAGUAAAUGAAGCGACCUGGAAAGGUCCGUCGAAGAAGGUAACAACCCUGUAGUUGAAACUUCGUUCUCUCUUGAGUGGAUCCUGAGUACGGCGGAACACGUGAAAUUCCGUCGGAAGCUGGGAGGACCAUCUCCCAAGGCUAAAUACUACCUAGUGACCGAUAGUGAACCAGUACCGUGAGGGAAAGGUGAAAAGCACCCCGGAAGGGGAGUGAAAGAGAUCCUGAAACCGUGUGCCUACAAGUAGUCAGAGCCCGUUAACGGGUGAUGGCGUGCCUUUUGUAGAAUGAACCGGCGAGUUACGAUCCCAUGCAAGGUUAAGCUGAUAAGGCGGAGCCGUAGCGAAAGCGAGUCUGAAUAGGGCGUUUAGUAUGUGGUUGUAGACCCGAAACCAGGUGAUCUACCCAUGUCCAGGGUGAAGUUCAGGUAACACUGAAUGGAGGCCCGAACCCACGCACGUUGAAAAGUGCGGGGAUGAGGUGUGGGUAGCGGAGAAAUUCCAAUCGAACCUGGAGAUAGCUGGUUCUCUCCGAAAUAGCUUUAGGGCUAGCCUCAUGUUGUGAGAGUCUUGGAGGUAGAGCACUGAUUGGACUAGGGGCCCCCAACGGGUUACCGAAUUCAGUCAAACUCCGAAUGCCAAAGACUUAUCCAUGGGAGUCAGACUGCGAGUGAUAAGAUCCGUAGUCAAAAGGGAAACAGCCCAGACCACCAGCUAAGGUCCCCAAGUAUACGUUAAGUGGAAAAGGAUGUGGAGUUGCUUAGACAACCAGGAUGUUGGCUUAGAAGCAGCCACCAUUUAAAGAGUGCGUAAUAGCUCACUGGUCGAGUGACUCUGCGCCGAAAAUGUACCGGGGCUAAACGUAUCACCGAAGCUGUGGAUUGACAUCUUAGAUGUCAGUGGUAGGAGAGCGUUCUAAGUGCUGUGAAGUCAGACCGUAAGGACUGGUGGAGCGCUUAGAAGUGAGAAUGCCGGUAUGAGUAGCGAAAGACAAGUGAGAAUCUUGUCCACCGAAUGCCUAAGGUUUCCUGAGGAAGGCUCGUCCGCUCAGGGUUAGUCGGGACCUAAGCCGAGGCUGAAAAGCGUAGGCGAUGGCCAACAGGUUGAUAUUCCUGUACCACCUCCCCGCCGUUUGAGUAAUGGGGGGACGCAGUAGGAUAGGGUAAGCGCGCUGCUGGAUAUGCGCGUUCAAGCAGUUAGGCUGAUGAGUAGGCAAAUCCGCUCAUCAUAAAGGCUGAGCUGUGAUGACGAGGGAAUUAUAGUACCGAAGUUCCUGAUUCCACACUGCCAAGAAAAGCCUCUAGCGAGGCGGGAGGUGCCCGUACCGCAAACCGACACAGGUAGGCGAGGAGAGAAUCCUAAGGUGAUCGAGAGAACUCUCGUUAAGGAACUCGGCAAAAUGACCCCGUAACUUCGGGAGAAGGGGUGCUCUGGUAGGGUGUAUAGCCCGAGAGAGCCGCAGUGAAUAGGCCCAGGCGACUGUUUAGCAAAAACACAGGUCUCUGCGAAGCCGCAAGGCGAAGUAUAGGGGCUGACGCCUGCCCGGUGCUGGAAGGUUAAGAGGAGGGGUUAUCCUUUGGGAGAAGCUCUGAAUCGAAGCCCCAGUAAACGGCGGCCGUAACUAUAACGGUCCUAAGGUAGCGAAAUUCCUUGUCGGGUAAGUUCCGACCCGCACGAAAGGCGUAACGAUCUGGGCACUGUCUCAACGAGAGACUCGGUGAAAUUAUAGUACCUGUGAAGAUGCAGGUUACCCGCGACAGGACGGAAAGACCCCGUGGAGCUUUACUGUAGCCUGAUAUUGAAUUUUGGUACAGCUUGUACAGGAUAGGUAGGAGCCUGAGAAGCCGGAGCGCUAGCUUCGGUGGAGGCGUCGGUGGGAUACUACCCUGGCUGUAUUGAAAUUCUAACCCGCGGCCCUUAUCGGGCCGGGAGACAGUGUCAGGUGGGCAGUUUGACUGGGGCGGUCGCCUCCUAAAAUGUAACGGAGGCGCCCAAAGGUUCCCUCAGAAUGGUUGGAAAUCAUUCGUAGAGUGUAAAGGCACAAGGGAGCUUGACUGCGAGACCUACAAGUCGAGCAGGGACGAAAGUCGGGCUUAGUGAUCCGGUGGUUCCGCAUGGAAGGGCCAUCGCUCAACGGAUAAAAGCUACCCCGGGGAUAACAGGCUUAUCUCCCCCAAGAGUCCACAUCGACGGGGAGGUUUGGCACCUCGAUGUCGGCUCAUCGCAUCCUGGGGCUGUAGUCGGUCCCAAGGGUUGGGCUGUUCGCCCAUUAAAGCGGUACGCGAGCUGGGUUCAGAACGUCGUGAGACAGUUCGGUCCCUAUCCGUCGUGGGCGUAGGAAAUUUGAGAGGAGCUGUCCUUAGUACGAGAGGACCGGGAUGGACACACCGCUGGUGUACCAGUUGUCUUGCCAAAGGCAUCGCUGGGUAGCUAUGUGUGGACGGGAUAAGUGCUGAAAGCAUCUAAGCAUGAAGCCCCCCUCAAGAUGAGAUUUCCCAUAGCGCAAGCUAGUAAGAUCCCUGAAAGAUGAUCAGGUUGAUAGGUCAGAGGUGGAAGCGUGGCGACAUGUGUAGCUGACUGAUACUAAUCGAUCGAGGACUUAACCAAAA